CAGCGCCACGAGUGGGGACCGUUAUUAUUGGGCCUAAAGCAUCCGUAGCCGGAUUAGUAAAUCCUUUGUGAAAUUAUAGGGCUUAACCUUAUAGCGUGCAGAGGAGACUGCUGAUCUUGAGACCGGGAGGAGUUAGAGGUAUGCGCUGGGUAGCGGUAAAAUGCAAUAAUCCAGUGUGGACCACCUGUGGCGAAGGCGUCUAACUAGAACGGGUCUGACGGUGAGGGAUGAAAGCUGGGGGAGCGAUCCGGAUUAGAUACCCGAGUAGUCC
rnacentral:rRNA from 1 species